rnacentral:rRNA from 1 species
GAUAAACGUUUGCGGCGUGCCUGAUGCAUGCAAGUCGAACGCCCCAAUUUUUCGCAAGAUUGAUUGGGGAGUGGCGAACGGCUGAGUAACACGUAAGUAACCUGUCCCUAAGUGGGGGAUAACUUGCCGAAAGGCAGGCUAAUACCGCAUGUGCUGGUAAGCGACAGCUUAUCAGUAAAGCUUUUGCGCUUGAGGAGGGGCUUGCGUCUGAUUAGCUAGUUGGUAGGGUAAUGGCCUACCAAGGCGAUGAUCAGUAGCUGGUCUGAGAGGACGACCAGCCAGACGGGGACUGAGAUACGGCCCUGACUCCUACGGGAGGCAGCAGCAAGGAAUUUUGCGCAAUGGGCGAAAGCCUGACGCAGCGACGCCGCGUGGGGGAUGACGGCCUUCGGGUUGUAAACCCCUUUUCUAGAGGAAGAAAUCUGACGGUACUCUAGGAAUAAGUCUUGGCUAACUACGUGCCAGCAGCCGCGGUAAUACGUAGAAGGCGAACGUUAUCCGGAUUUACUGGGCGUAAAGCGGGUGUAGACGGUUUUUUAAGUCAGUUGUGAAAUCUCCUAACUCAAUUGGGAGACUGCAAUUGAUACUGGAGAACUUGAGGGCAUCAGAAGAAAGCAGAAUUCACGGUGUAGCGGUGAAAUGCGUAGAUAUCGUGAGGAAUACCAGUGGCGCAAGCGGCUUUCUAGGAUGCUCCUGACGUUGAGGCCCGAAAGUGUGGGGAGCGAAACGAUAAACGUUUGCGGCGUGCCUGAUGCAUGCAAGUCGAACGCCC